rnacentral:rRNA from 1 species
GACGAACGCUGUCGGCGUGCUUAACACAUGCAAGUCGAACGGAAAGGCCCUGCUUUUGUGGGGUGCUCGAGUGGCGAACGGGUGAGUAACACGUGAGUAACCUGCCCUUGACUUUGGGAUAACUUCAGGAAACUGGGGCUAAUACCGGAUAGGAGCUCCUGCUGCAUGGUGGGGGUUGGAAAGUUUCGGCGGUUGGGGAUGGACUCGCGGCUUAUCAGCUUGUUGGUAGGGUAGUGGCUUACCAAGGCUUUGACGGGUAGCCGGCCUGAGAGGGUGACCGGCCACAUUGGGACUGAGAUACGGCCCAGACUCCUACGGGAGGCAGCAGUGGGGAAUAUUGCACAAUGGGCGGAAGCCUGAUGCAGCAACGCCGCGUGCGGGAUGACGGCCUUCGGGUUGUAAACCGCUUUCGCCUGUGACGAAGCGUGAGUGACGGUAAUGGGUAAAGAAGCACCGGCUAACUACGUGCCAGCAGCCGCGGUGAUACGUAGGGUGCGAGCGUUGUCCGGAUUUAUUGGGCGUAAAGGGCUCGUAGGUGGUUGAUCGCGUCGGAAGUGUAAUCUUGGGGCUUAACCCUGAGCGUGCUUUCGAUACGGGUUGACUUGAGGAAGGUAGGGGAGAAUGGAAUUCCUGGUGGAGCGGUGGAAUGCGCAGAUAUCAGGAGGAACACCAGUGGCGAAGGCGGUUCUCUGGGCCUUUCCUGACGCUGAGGAGCGAAAGCGUGGGGAGCGAACAGGCUUAGAUACCCUGGUAGUCCACGCUGUAAACGGUGGGUACUAGGUGUGGGGUCCAUUCCACGGGUUCCGUGCCGUAGCUAACGCUUUAAGUACCCCGCCUGGGGAGUACGGCCGCAAGGCUAAAACUCAAAGGAAUUGACGGGGCCCCGCACAAGCGGCGGAGCAUGCGGAUUAAUUCGAUGCAACGCGUAGAACCUUACCUGGGUUUGACAUGGAUCGGGAGUGCUCAGAGAUGGGUGUGCCUCUUUUGGGGUCGGUUCACAGGUGGUGCAUGCCUGUCGUCAGCUCGUGUCGUGAGAUGUUGGGUUAAGUCCCGCAACGAGCGCAACCCUUGUUCACUGUUGCCAGCACGUUAUGGUGGGGACUCAGUGGAGACCGCCGGGGUCAACUCGGAGGAAGGUGGGGAUGACGUCAAGUCAUCAUGCCCCUUAUGUCCAGGGCUUCACGCAUGCUACAAUGGCUGGUACAGAGAGUGGCGAGCCUGUGAGGGUGAGCGAAUCUCGGAAAGCCGGUCUCAGUUCGGAUUGGGGUCUGCAACUCGACCUCAUGAAGUCGGAGUCGCUAGUAAUCGCAGAUCAGCAACGCUGCGGUGAAUACGUUCCCGGG